AUUGAACGCUGGCGGCAGGCCUAACACAUGCAAGUCGAACGGUAACAGGAAACAGCUUGCUGUUUCGCUGACGAGUGGCGGACGGGUGAGUAAUGUCUGGGAAACUGCCUGAUGGAGGGGGAUAACUACUGGAAACGGUAGCUAAUACCGCAUAACGUCGCAAGACCAAAGAGGGGGACCUUAGGGCCUCUUGCCAUCGGAUGUGCCCAGAUGGGAUUAGCUAGUAGGUGGGGUAACGGCUCACCUAGGCGACGAUCCCUAGCUGGUCUGAGAGGAUGACCAGCCACACUGGAACGGAGACACGGUCCAGACUCCUACGGGAGGCAGCAGUGGGGAAUAUUGCACAAUGGGCGCAAGCCUGAUGCAGCCAUGCCGCGUGUAUGAAGAAGGCCUUCGGGUUGUAAAGUACUUUCAGCGGGGAGGAAGGGAGUAAAGUUAAUACCUUUGCUCAUUGACGUUACCCGCAGAAGAAGCACCGGCUAACUACGUG
rnacentral:rRNA from 1 species